rfam:Triticum aestivum genome assembly, contig: Triticum_aestivum_CS42_TGACv1_scaffold_485338_6AS
GCACUACUCCCUCCGUUUCAAAUUAUUUGUCUUAGAUUUGUCAAGAUACGGAAGUAUCUAGCAUUAAAAUAAGUUUAGAUGCAUCCGUAUCUAGAUAAAUCCAAGACAAAUAAUUCGAAACGGAGGGAGUAGUAU